GGAUGUCGCAGGUAGGCUACCCUUGUGUCUCGUGCUGCUGUUCGGAUAAUUAAAAUGUCUAACGCCAGUUUUGAUAAAUCACCACGUGGAUCAAAGGCCUGGAUCGCUCUGAGACGACUUGAUAAAAACGAUGACAGAGUGGUGGCUCUUCGUGAAGUGUCCAUUCCUCCAGCUGCUGAGGUCACCAUGAUCAUACAGAUUAUCACCACUACCUUUGGGCUAAACACUUCCGAUGUCAUAUUCAAGAUAAGGAACCACCAUGGCUGCCUGAUCCCUCUGAACAGCUCAAUCCCUGCUAACAGCAAGCACAUGCCAUAUGUGCUUGAGGUAGCCAAGAUCUUUCAGCAUGUGUGUCCUAAGCCCAGAACCAUUCCCAUGACUGUGCUCAACAAGAGCAUGAAGACCAGGCUACAGACUAUUGACAGGAGGAUUCAGAGACUGGAGGAGCUUCUGCCUCAAAUUAAACUCAGGCGCAACGAAAAACUAAGCCAGGAGAUUGAAUGUCUCAACCAAAAGUUGAGGUUUCUUCAUAAGAGAAUGCAGGUGGCAGAUUCUCGCAGCUGGAAGGGGGGGCUGACCAGAGCCCCUCUGUGGUAACCAAACAGCAGUAUUUCCGGCUGUUUUAGAAGACACAGACCAUCAGUAGGACUUUGGUUACACAAAUCAUAACCAAAUGAGGAUGGAUGAUGAUCUGAAUUUUUACAACUUAUUUUCAUAGUUUGUUAGGUUUUAUUACAACUAUAUUAACAGAAAUCCUUCACACUUUUUUCUGCCUGGAAAUGUAGUGUGUCACGUUUGUAUAGUUGAGGAACAUAUUUGUAACCCUUUUGUGUCGAGCCUUACUACAGUAGAAUUAAUUAUGGAAGAAAACCUUUGUUGUGUGUACCAUGAA
rnacentral:lncRNA from 1 species